UGUGUGUGUGUGUGUGUGUGUGUGUGUGUGUGAGGCAGAGAGGUGUGAAAAAGGGCCGUGUCCCACCUAAAGUGGGAUAGGGAGCUGUGGGCCACCUUCUUUACUCUCGAGGAAGCUGUGUGUGUGUGUGUGUGUGUGUGUGUGUGUGUGUGUGUGUGUGUGAGGCAGAGAGGUGUGAAAAAGGGCCGUGUCCCACCUAAAGUGGGAUAGGGAGCUGUGGGCCACCUUCUUUACUCUCGAGGAAGCUGUGUGUGUGUGUGUGUGUGUGUGUGUGUGUGUGUGUGUGUGUGUGUGUGUGUGUGUGA